GGGUUGUGAGGUUAAGCGACUAAGCGUACACGGUGGAUGCCCUGGCAGUCAGAGGCGAUGAAGGACGUGCUAAUCUGCGAUAAGCGUCGGUAAGGUGAUAUGAACCGUUAUAACCGGCGAUUUCCGAAUGGGGAAACCCAGUGUGAUUCGUCACACUAUCAUUAACUGAAUCCAUAGGUUAAUGAGGCGAACCGGGGGAACUGAAACAUCUAAGUACCCCGAGGAAAAGAAAUCAACCGAGAUUCCCCCAGUAGCGGCGAGCGAACGGGGAGCAGCCCAGAGCCUGAAUCAGUGUGUGUGUUAGUGGAAGCGUCUGGAAAGGCGCGCGAUACAGGGUGACAGCCCCGUACACAAAAAUGCACAUGCUGUGAGCUCGAUGAGUAGGGCGGGACACGUGGUAUCCUGUCUGAAUAUGGGGGGACCAUCCUCCAAGGCUAAAUACUCCUGACUGACCGAUAGUGAACCAGUACCGUGAGGGAAAGGCGAAAAGAACCCCGGCGAGGGGAGUGAAAAAGAACCUGAAACCGUGUACGUACAAGCAGUGGGAGCACGCUUAGGCGUGUGACUGCGUACCUUUUGUAUAAUGGGUCAGCGACUUAUAUUCUGUAGCAAGGUUAACCGAAUAGGGGAGCCGAAGGGAAACCGAGUCUUAACUGGGCGUUAAGUUGCAGGGUAUAGACCCGAAACCCGGUGAUCUAGCCAUGGGCAGGUUGAAGGUUGGGUAACACUAACUGGAGGACCGAACCGACUAAUGUUGAAAAAUUAGCGGAUGACUUGUGGCUGGGGGUGAAAGGCCAAUCAAACCGGGAGAUAGCUGGUUCUCCCCGAAAGCUAUUUAGGUAGCGCCUCGUGAAUUCAUCUCCGGGGGUAGAGCACUGUUUCGGCAAGGGGGUCAUCCCGACUUACCAACCCGAUGCAAACUGCGAAUACCGGAGAAUGUUAUCACGGGAGACACACGGCGGGUGCUAACGUCCGUCGUGAAGAGGGAAACAACCCAGACCGCCAGCUAAGGUCCCAAAGUCAUGGUUAAGUGGGAAACGAUGUGGGAAGGCCCAGACAGCCAGGAUGUUGGCUUAGAAGCAGCCAUCAUUUAAAGAAAGCGUAAUAGCUCACUGGUCGAGUCGGCCUGCGCGGAAGAUGUAACGGGGCUAAACCAUGCACCGAAGCUGCGGCAGCGACGCUUAUGCGUUGUUGGGUAGGGGAGCGUUCUGUAAGCCUGUGAAGGUGUGCUGUGAGGCAUGCUGGAGGUAUCAGAAGUGCGAAUGCUGACAUAAGUAACGAUAAAGCGGGUGAAAAGCCCGCUCGCCGGAAGACCAAGGGUUCCUGUCCAACGUUAAUCGGGGCAGGGUGAGUCGACCCCUAAGGCGAGGCCGAAAGGCGUAGUCGAUGGGAAACAGGUUAAUAUUCCUGUACUUGGUGUUACUGCGAAGGGGGGACGGAGAAGGUUAUGUUGGCCGGGCGACGGUUGUCCCGGUUUAAGCGUGUAGGCUGGUUUUCCAGGCAAAUCCGGAAAAUCAAGGCUGAGGCGUGAUGACGAGGCACUACGGUGCUGAAGCAACAAAUGCCCUGCUUCCAGGAAAAGCCUCUAAGCAUCAGGUAACAUCAAAUCGUACCCCAAACCGACACAGGUGGUCAGGUAGAGAAUACCAAGGCGCUUGAGAGAACUCGGGUGAAGGAACUAGGCAAAAUGGUGCCGUAACUUCGGGAGAAGGCACGCUGAUAUGUAGGUGAAGUCCCUCGCGGAUGGAGCUGAAAUCAGUCGAAGAUACCAGCUGGCUGCAACUGUUUAUUAAAAACACAGCACUGUGCAAACACGAAAGUGGACGUAUACGGUGUGACGCCUGCCCGGUGCCGGAAGGUUAAUUGAUGGGGUCAGCGCAAGCGAAGCUCUUGAUCGAAGCCCCGGUAAACGGCGGCCGUAACUAUAACGGUCCUAAGGUAGCGAAAUUCCUUGUCGGGUAAGUUCCGACCUGCACGAAUGGCGUAAUGAUGGCCAGGCUGUCUCCACCCGAGACUCAGUGAAAUUGAACUCGCUGUGAAGAUGCAGUGUACCCGCGGCAAGACGGAAAGACCCCGUGAACCUUUACUAUAGCUUGACACUGAACAUUGAGCCUUGAUGUGUAGGAUAGGUGGGAGGCUUAGAAGUGUGGACGCCAGUCUGCAUGGAGCCGACCUUGAAAUACCACCCUUUAAUGUUUGAUGUUCUAACGUUGACCCGUAAUCCGGGUUGCGGACAGUGUCUGGUGGGUAGUUUGACUGGGGCGGUCUCCUCCUAAAGAGUAACGGAGGAGCACGAAGGUUGGCUAAUCCUGGUCGGACAUCAGGAGGUUAGUGCAAUGGCAUAAGCCAGCUUGACUGCGAGCGUGACGGCGCGAGCAGGUGCGAAAGCAGGUCAUAGUGAUCCGGUGGUUCUGAAUGGAAGGGCCAUCGCUCAACGGAUAAAAGGUACUCCGGGGAUAACAGGCUGAUACCGCCCAAGAGUUCAUAUCGACGGCGGUGUUUGGCACCUCGAUGUCGGCUCAUCACAUCCUGGGGCUGAAGUAGGUCCCAAGGGUAUGGCUGUUCGCCAUUUAAAGUGGUACGCGAGCUGGGUUUAGAACGUCGUGAGACAGUUCGGUCCCUAUCUGCCGUGGGCGCUGGAGAACUGAGGGGGGCUGCUCCUAGUACGAGAGGACCGGAGUGGACGCAUCACUGGUGUUCGGGUUGUCAUGCCAAUGGCACUGCCCGGUAGCUAAAUGCGGAAGAGAUAAGUGCUGAAAGCAUCUAAGCACGAAACUUGCCCCGAGAUGAGUUCUCCCUGACCCUUUAAGGGUCCUGAAGGAACGUUGAAGACGACGACGUUGAUAGGCCGGGUGUGUAAGCGCAGCGAUGCGUUGAGCUAACCGGUACUAAUGAACCGUGAGGCUUAACCUUACAACGCCGAAGGUGUUU
rnacentral:rRNA from 1 species